UUUUCAAAUUAAAGCAUCUUUAGAAAAGUUUGAUAGUGGGCCAAACUUCGAGAAGACGACAAAUGGAAAGAAAUCCCACUAUAAUCUGCCAGGAGUUGGGGACCAAGUGGGUUGGGACUAAUGAAUAGCAAAUUAGAAGAUGGUUGAUGAAAGGGUGAAGAGGAAGCCUCAACCUGACUUUGAGACUCUCUUCGUAUAAACCAAGCUAUCAGUGGAAGUGUUGGUUACCUGGCUAUCAGGGCCAGACAAUUCCAAAGAAAAUUCAGGAGGAAUAUAGCAUAAAACCCUAAUUCAGUCUAGGUCCUCCUAGACCAAGACUAGUUCCUUAUCCUCAGGUCUAAAG
rnacentral:lncRNA from 1 species